GAUGAACGCUAGCUACAGGCUUAACACAUGCAAGUCGAGGGGCAGCACAGUGUAGCAAUACACGGGUGGCGACCGGCGCACGGGUGCGUAACGCGUAUCCAACCUUCCCGUUACUCUUGGAUAGCCUUCCGAAAGGGAGAUUAAUACAAGAUGGUAUUCAAAUUCCGCAUGUUAUUUGAAUUAAAGAUUUAUCGGUAACGGAUGGGGAUGCGUGACAUUAGGUAGAUGGUGGGGUAACGGCCCACCUAGUCUACGAUGUCUAGGGGUUCUGAGAGGAAGGUCCCCCACACUGGAACUGAGACACGGUCCAGACUCCUACGGGAGGCAGCAGUGAGGAAUAUUGGUCAAUGGUCGGAAGACUGAACCAGCCAAGUAGCGUGAAGGAUGAAGGUUCUAUGGAUUGUAAACUUCUUUUAUACGGGAAUAAAACCUCCCACGUGUGGGAGCUUGUAUGUACCGUAUGAAUAAGCAUCGGCUAACUCCGUG
rnacentral:rRNA from 1 species